UUAGUGGCGCACGGGUGCGUAACGCGUGGGAACCUGCCUUUUGGUUCGGAAUAACAGUGAGAAAUUACUGCUAAUACCGGAUAAUGUCUUCGGACCAAAGAUUUAUCGCCAUUAGAUGGGCCCGCGUAAGAUUAGCUAGUUGGUGGGGUAAAGGCCUACCAAGGCGACGAUCUUUAGCUGGUCUGAGAGGAUGAUCAGCCACACUGGGACUGAGACACGGCCCAGACUCCUACGGGAGGCAGCAGUGGGGAAUAUUGGACAAUGGGCGAAAGCCUGAUCCAGCAAUGCCGCGUGAGUGAUGAAGGCCUUAGGGUUGUAAAGCUCUUUUACCAGGGAUGAUAAUGACAGUACCUGGAGAAUAAGCUCCGGCUAACUCCGUGCCAGCAGCCGCGGUAAUACGGAGGGAGCUAGCGUUGUUCGGAAUUACUGGGCGUAAAGCGCACGUAGGCGGCUUUUUAAGUCAGGGGUGAAAUCCCGGAGCUCAACUCCGGA
rnacentral:rRNA from 1 species